rnacentral:rRNA from 1 species
UCCGGAGUUACUGGGCGUAAAGCGCGGGCAGGCGGCUCGCAACGUCUGAUGUGAAAUCUCCUCGCUCAACGGGGAGAGGCCAUUGGAAACGGUCGAGCUGGAGGGCAGUAGAGGUAGGCGGAAUUCCGGGUGGAGUGGUGAAAUGCGUAGAGAUCCGGAGGAACACCAGAGGCGAAGGCGGCCUACUGGGCUGCACCUGACGCUGAGCCGCGAAAGCCAGGGGAGCGAACGGG